AACGAACGCUGGCGGCAGGCCUAACACAUGCAAGUCGAACGCUCCAGCAAUGGAGAGUGGCAGACGGGUGAGUAACGCGUGGGAACCUACCCUUUGGUUCGGAAUAGCUCAGGGAAACUUGAGGUAAUACCGGAUAAGCCCCUCGGGGGAAAGAUUUAUCGCCGAAGGAUGGGCCCGCGUCGGAUUAGCUAGUUGGUGGGGUAACGGCCUACCAAGGCGACGAUCCGUAGCUGGUCUGAGAGGAUGAUCAGCCACACUGGGACUGAGACACGGCCCAGACUCCUACGGGAGGCAGCAGUGGGGAAUAUUGGACAAUGGGCGCAAGCCUGAUCCAGCCAUGCCGCGUGAGUGACGAAGGUCUUCGGAUUGUAAAGCUCUUUUGGCGGGGACGAUAAUGACGGUACCCGCAGAAUAAGCCCCGGCUAACUUCGUGCCAGCAGCCGCCGCCGUAA
rnacentral:rRNA from 1 species